CUCUGCUCUGCGCCGCCUCACCUCUCUCUAGCCAUGCCGCGAAUCUGGAUCGACGGCGACGAGCGACGCCGCGCUUCCUCGCCAACUCGGCACCGACGACGACGGGCGGCGUGACCGUUCCUCACCACAUCGGACGUAGACAGACACGCCUCCCCUGGUUUUUCGUGGAACGUGACGAGCCGGAGCAGACGCCUAUCGUCGCAACAAUGGACAAGCAAAAGGGGAAGGCGAGUGGGAAGGAGAAGGAGAAAGAGAGGACGUUGGACUCCAUUAUGAAGAGAAAGUUGCCGGUCUCGGGGAUGCAGAAGGGGAAUGGGAAGGGCAAUGCAGCAGCUACUACACGGCUGCCGAUGAAGCUGACAAAUGAUUCCAGCAAUGUCCCAAUCGCUGAGUUGUUGUAUAGGGUAAAAAAGAAACCUCCGCCUCGACGUCUCCCUGACCCCACCGGCACUGGCGUGCAUGCCGGAAUCGCCGUUGCCUCCGGCUCCGCAAACUACUAUGAGAGGGAGGCUACAUCUUCGCAGGCAAUGGAGCAUGAUAAGCAAGCGGAGGAGGAUCAUGAAGAGGUGGAAGAGGAUGAGGAGGAGGACGAGGAAGAGCAAGAUACUUUGUUUAAGCUGCCGCCUGGGGUUGGUGACAAAUCAGAUUCAGAUGGGUUGGUGACAAAUCAGAUUCAGCCAAGAACAAUUGCAACACAAGUACCUCGAUGCCACUUAUGGAUUGUGACUUUCAGUCCUUCUUAUCAGCCACUUCAUCAACACCAUCAAAAAGUGAGCUUAGAAACUAUCUAGAUGACUUGAAUGAGGCAAUGGAUCCUAUGUUCAAUCUUCUUGAUUGGUGGAGGGUGAAUGCACCUAGAUACCCCGUAUUGGCAAUGAUGGCAAAGAGGUUCUUGACUGUCCAGGCAGGAAUCAACUUUCAGCACGGGUGAAAGAGUUUUAGAUGACUACAGGAGUUCUUUGAAACCAGAAAUGGUGGAAGCCUUGGUGUGCGGUGCUAGUUAUAUCAAAGGUUAUCACAAGGACUUCAAUGUGGUGGAGAGGGAUGAAGAUGAGGAGGACGAUGUUGAGAAUAUCAAGUUGCCCAAGAUUGUUGAUGUGGGGGGUGACAACAAUUGAUAUUCGCCAUGUGGGUGUUGCUCUUGCUAUUUUGAAGAUGGAUGUCUACAUGAUCUUCUCAUGUGGAUUGUUGAGGUCAACGUGAUCAUCUCGUGCCAUUUCUUUUGUUGUGAUGAAC